rnacentral:rRNA from 1 species
GUGGGGAAUAUUGGACAAUGGGCGCAAGCCUGAUCCAGCAAUGCCGCGUGGGUGAAGAAGGUCUUCGGAUCGUAAAGCCCUUUCGACAGGGACGAUGAUGACGAUACCUGUAGAAGAAGCCCCGGCUAACUUCGUGCCAGCAGCCGCGGUAAUACGAAGGGGGCUAGCGUUACUCGGAAUUACUGGGCGUAAAGGGCGCGUAGGCGGCUCUGUUAGUCAGGCGUGAAAUUCCUGGGCUUAACCUGGGGACUGCGCUUGAUACUGCAGGGCUUGAGGCCGAGAGAGGGUGGUGGAAUUCCCAGUGUAGAGGUGAAAUUCGUAGAUAGUGGGAAGAACACCGGUGGCGAAGGCGACCACCUGGCUCGGUUCUGACGCUGAGGCGCGACAGCGUGGGGAGCAAACAGGAUUAGAAACCCGUGUAGUCC